GAACUCGUCAACUUCCUGUCGGUACUUGAAGAAGCGGAGCCAGGGCUGAGAUCCCGAAGGCGGGCGAGGCCGCAGUUCGGGGGCCACGCCCCGGCGUGCUCGGGUCACCGCGGGAAGCCCUUGAACCCCCUGGCGCCCGGCACCCACGUGCGGUAACCGCGGCUCCUCGAGAGCUCCAGGGAUGCGGAUCUACAGCCUUGGGGAUGAAGGUGAGAAAUUCGAGAAUCCCCGGAGAUAACACAUCAGCAAAUAGUGCGCAGGCAGAACAAGCUGUUGGAGGUGAGAGACACAGAGCAGAGAAGCACCCGCACCUGGAGAGUCAGGAGGGCCUCACAUCAGAACGCCUGAGCAAAUACAGUUUUGAAGGAUACUAAUUUUUUAAAAAGUUCAUUCACAUGAGUUAGACAAAGAGAAAGAAGCAGGACAUUCUAGGAAGAAGGAACGGCCCAGGCAAAAGCGACGCGUACAUUGGCGUGGGUCCAUUCAAGAAUUGUGCCCACAAUAUACCAGGCACUUGUCCAGACCUGCAUCGUCCAAUGCCCACCUCGACCUCCCAAAGUGUUGGGAUUAGAGGCGUGAGCCACCGCGCCCUGCCUGCAUGUGGCUAUUGAGAUGUGCUGUAUGAUACACACCGGACUUUGAAGACUCAGUGUGAAAAAUAAAAAGAAUUUUAAGAGGGGUGGGGGUCGAGGGGAGGCAGAGCAGUAGGACAAAUAGCUAAUGCACGCAGGGCUUAAAACCUAGACAACAGGUUGAUGGGUGCAGCAAACCACCAUGACACAUGUUUAUCUAUAUAGCACCUACAUGUUCUGCACUUGUAUCCUGGAACUUAAAAUUAGAAAAAAAAAAUAAUAAAAGCCAACAUGGCAUUCAUUACUGCCAA
rnacentral:lncRNA from 10 species